rnacentral:rRNA from 1 species
AUUGAACGCUGGCGGCAUGCCUUACACAUGCAGGUCGAACGGCAGCAUGAUCUAGCUUGCUAGAUUGAUGGCGAGUGGCGAACGGGUGAGUAAUACAUCGGAACGUGCCCUGUAGUGGGGGAUAACUAGUCGAAAGAUUAGCUAAUACCGCAUACGACCUGAGGGUGAAAGUGGGGGACCGCAAAGCCUCAUGCUAUAGGAGCGGCCGAUGUCUGAUUAGCUAGUUGGUGAGGUAAAGGCUCACCAAGGCGACGAUCAGUAGCUGGUCUGAGAGGACGAUCAGCCACACUGGGACUGAGACACGGCCCAGACUCCUACGGGAGGCAGCAGUGGGGAAUUUUGGACAAUGGGGGCAACCCUGAUCCAGCAAUGCCGCGUGUGUGAAGAAGGCCUUCGGGUUGUAAAGCACUUUUGUCCGGAAAGAAAUCGCACUUACUAAUAUUAGGUGUGGAUGACGGUACCGGAAGAAUAAGGACCGGCUAACUACGUGCCAGCCGCCGCGGUAACAC